GGAGAGGUGACAGAGCGGUCGAAUGUGACGGUCUUGAAAACCGUUGGGCCUUAACGGGUCCCGUGGGUUCGAAUCCCACCCUCUCCGCCA
rnacentral:tRNA from 1 species